CUGAGCUGAAGGCAGACGUUUAAGUGACUGAGCCUCCCAGGUGCCCAAACGUUUCUUAUCUCCCGGCUUCUAUGGUCAGGAGUUACGGGGUGGUAUAGCUAUCUUGUUUUGGUUCAGGAUCUCCCACGAGGUUACGGCUGAGAUGUCAGCCAGGACUGCAGUCAUCUGAAAGCUUGAGUGGGGCGGGAGGGUCGGCUUCCGAGCUGCCUUAUGUAUCUGGCCAGUCAGUGCUGGCUAUUGGUACUCCUAACAACAGUUCCUCCUCCACGGGGCGCUCUCCAGACAAUAUGGCAGUUGGCUUUCCCAGAGCAAGUGAGCCAAGAGAGCGAGGAAGAUGUGGCAACAUCUUUAUGACCAAGCCUUUGAUGUAGGUACUACUAUCAACCCGGUUUUGCAUUGGAGGAAACUAGCUCAGAGAGGUUAAACCACUUGACUAAAGUCACUCAGCUAGCAAGCAGCCAUGCCAGGCAACUUGAAUGGGAGCUGACAAGUUCAUCCAUCUUGACCAGCUGUCCCUGGAGUUUGGGUGCAGCAUGAACGACUUGAUGGCAACCCCAAGCACUGAUCCUGACCAGGAUGGCCAGAGGAUGAGGAGGGAGGGGGAUGGCCAUGGUGUAGUGCUUGUUCACCAACCCUCACCCACAGAUCAAAUACGGGGGCGAUGUGCCCAAGAGCUACCACCCGCGUAACCAGGUGAGGACACAUUAUGAGCACACGGUGACUGUGGCCAGAGGCUCCUUUGUGCAGGUGGAGAACAAAAUCCUGUUCCUGGGCUGUGUGCUCAGGUAGGGAUGGUGGCCAUGCCAUCCCUGGGCACAGCUGAGAGGGGCCUGGAGCUCAGGCAGGUGGUCAUUUGUGGGGCCCUGUCGCCUGCAGAUGGCAGUUUGCAUCGGAAGGGACAGACAUCAGCCUUGGGAUUUUCCUGAAGACCAGGAUGUGUGAACAGAAGCAGGCAGGGGACAUGGUGGAGGUGUUGCCCAUCCAACGCUGCAAAGCCCAUGUGGUCCCUGAGGACGGGAGCCUCACCUGCCUCAAGGCCAGCAUCUGGAAAUAUUGGCAGGAAACAGCUGCACUUGGACCUGGGGGCUGGGGGCUGGAGUCCUGAUGUGCAUCCACGUUUUACCAUGUGGGGGCUCUUGGCACCAGCAGACAGGAUGUAUAACUGGCUUCGGGCUCUCGGGCUGGACAAUGGCUCCCUGGUCCUGGCACAAGAAUUUACACCAUGGAGGGUGAGGUCCUGGGUGGGGCAUCCCAUCUGAAAAUCUGUCCCUUGACGGAGAUGUCCUGAGGUUUGACAAUAUCUACAGCCUAGUUCAUUCCAAACAUAUCGGCUCCACUGUAGAUGUUCUACUCAUGGACCAAAUCUUUGUGGAGAAGACGGAGAGAUUCUAGGCAAGCCUUGUGGCUCCCAUAGCCUCCCCUUUGAUCUCUAGGACCACAAUGAAUUCAUAGCCUUCCCUGGCCAGACUCCCUCCAACCUCCCUAGGAAUGGGAAUCCUACAACAGCUGCUCCCAGCCCAGUUGUCACAGUGGGUCUGCAUCUUAGGAACUACUAGGACUGUGUCCCAGGGGUGGCCAGACAGCCACAGCAAAGCAAACAAAACAUGAAAGACUGAAGGCAGUCAUCCCUGGGAUCCCAUUUUUUAAGGGCUCACCAAGCACCCCUUCUCAACAAUCUAUUCCAGAAUCUUGAUAGCAAGUUUUUUCAACUGAUUCCCAAAUUCAGUGCCUGGUUCCUAUCAUCCUCUAUGGUUCUACCAUGUUAUCUUGCCCAGAUGGCACCAAGGUGCUGGGGCCAACUGGUAGGGGGAGUUUAGUUGGAGAAGUGCCACAUGGGAGGAGAGGGCAUUGGAGAGCCAUGUCAAGGAUGGAGGGAUUUCCCUGGCUUGGGUUGCCUUGACCCCAUGAUCUGCCAUAUCCCACCCACCGUUCCAUCUGUUUCUAGCAACUGCCCUUGCUAUAGUCUUCUGGAGACAUGGGCUGAAGACCAGAGCUGUUGGCCAGAUAACGGACAUGUUCACAGCUGUCCCCACCUGCCUCCUCUCCUACAAAGCCUUCACUCUGAGCCCACAGUCCCCUGCCCCAAAUCUUUGUCUUUGCUCAUGCUGUUCCCUCACCUAGAAGGCGUGCUUUUCUUCCCUCUGUACAAAGUUUCUCUCCAGCAAGCGGUGCUGAGUCACAGUGAGGGCAAGUACUUGGUGUGUCAUUUACACCCAUGAGAUUCUCUCUUUCUACUGAAUAAUCCCGAGAGCUUCAACAAACCUAUACAGUUCUAGGACCACUGCCACAAUCAGGAUGCACAACUCCAUCUCCCCCCAAAUUCCCUCCUGCGGGCCCUUUGUCAUCUACCCUUCCCCUACCCCAGCCCUGACAACCACUGAUCUGUUUUCUAAUACUGCAGUUGACUUUUCCGAAAAUGCCAAAUUAUACGGUAUGUGAUCUUUCGGAUCUGGCUUUCUUCUUUUGGCAUGACGCCUCUGAGAACCAUCUGUGUUGUUGCCUGUGUUAGUGGUUGGCUCCUUCCUGUGGCUGAGUGGUGUUCCAUUGCGUGGAAGCACCGUGCUGUGUUUAUCCAUUUCCCCGGUGGAAGGUUAGCUGGGUUGUUUCCAGUUUGAGGCAAUUACUAAUAAAGCCGCUAUAUGAAUACAUGAGGUUUUUGUCU